rnacentral:lncRNA from 1 species
AGUUUCUAUUUGUUUAUUGUUUGUUUUGGUAUGAGAUAUGCCUGUCAAUUUGAUUUUAAGUGAGAGGUUAGUGUAAAUUAAGUUUACGUGUAUGUAUAUAAAAGGGGUUAAUGUAGUUUACGUAUGUAGGUUAAUGUAAAUUCAAGCUUACGUAUGUUCAAUUUAGGUUAAUGUAAAUUCAGUUUACUUACGUUCAAUCUAGGUUAAUGUAAAUUAAGUUUACUUAUGUUCAAUCUAGGUUAAUGUAAAUUCAGUUUACUUACGUUC